rnacentral:piRNA from 1 species
UUCCNGUAGGUGUGGCCUGAGGGUACUGGA